rnacentral:rRNA from 1 species
UACAGAGGGUGCAAACGUUGUUCGGAAUCACUGGGCAUAAAGCGCACGUAGGCGGCCCCGUAAGUGUCGGAUGAAACCCCACGGCUUACCCGUGGAACGGUCCGGCAUACUGCGGGGCUAGAGGAUGGUAGAGGAGAGCGGAACUCUUGGUGGAGCGGUGAAAUGCGUAGAUAUCGGGAGGAACACCAGUGGCGAAGGCGGCGAUCUGGGUCGAUACUGACGCUGAGGUGCGAAAGCGUGGGGAGCAAACAGG